GUUUGUCUUCACUAAUUUAAUUAUCAUACUUCAUUCAAUUCGCAUAUGUCACGUCCCGGGACCGGCAGAGGCCUUCCCGGUAGCGUGCCCAGACCCGCCAUAUGUCAACACAUAUAAGGCGUCUAAAAUAACAGCGGAAAUAAAAUCAAGAAAUAAUCUAUAUCUAGAGAUAUCAGAGCAGGUAUGAUUCUAUCAUCUAUGACAAGGUAAACGGAAGAUACUAAACAAUAGAAGUGAAAUAUAAAGUAAUACAAUAUUAUCUCCAAAAAUAAUACACAAAGAAGUGGUCUCUAGUACACUGGUACAGCUCUCAACCUCUCCAAAAUAAAAAUAUCGAGAGGUAGACCACCUAGCGACUCGUCACUCGCUGAAGAGCUAGCUCGAAGCCACGCGCUUCCCUCGGUCCCUAGCCUCUCCCGGCGUGGAAGGCUCUGAAAGAAAAUAUAAAACAGAGGGCGUGAGAACUAUAAUUUAUAGUUCACAGUAGGCAAUUACUGACCUCAGCUCAAUGCACCACUAGGCCCCAAAAGAAAAGGGUAAGUCAACAAGGCAAUAGUAACGAAAU
rnacentral:lncRNA from 1 species